rnacentral:rRNA from 1 species
UACGAACCGUACGAACGUUAUUCGGAUUCACUGGGCUUAAAGCGUGCGUAGGCGGCUGGGAAAGUUGGGUGUGAAAUCCCUCGGCUCAACCGAGGAAUUGCGCCCAAAACUACCUGGCUUGAGGAAGAUAGAGGUAAGCGGAACUAAUGGUGGAGCGGUGAAAUGCGUUGAUAUCAUUAGGAACACCUGUGGCGAAAGCAGCUUACUGGGUCUUAUCUGACGCUGAGGCACGAAAGCUAGGGGAGCGAACGGGAUUAGAAACCCUGGUAGU